rnacentral:rRNA from 1 species
GACGAACGCUGGCGGCGUGCCUAAUACAUGCAAGUUGAGCGCUGAAGGUUGGUACUUGUACCAACUGGAUGAGCAGCGAACGGGUGAGUAACGCGUGGGUAAUCUGCCUUUGAGCGGGGGACAACAUUUGGAAACGAAUGCUAAUACCGCAUAAAAACUUUAAACACAAGUUUUAAGUUUGAAAGAUGCACUUGCAUCACUCAAAGAUGAUCCCGCGUUGUAUUAGCUAGUUGGUGAGGUAAAGGCUCACCAAGGCGAUGAUACAUAGCCGACCUGAGAGGGUGAGCGGCCACAUUGGGACGGAGACACGGCCCAAACUCCUACGGGAGGCAGCCGGAGGGAAUCUUCGGCAAUGGACGAAAGUCUGAACGAGCAACGCCGCGUGAGUGAAGAAGGUUUUCGGAUCGUAAAACUCUGUUGGUAGAGAAGAACGUUGGUGAGAGUGGAAAGCGCAUCAAGUGACGGUAACUAACCAGAAAGGGACGGCUAACUACGUG